ensembl:lncRNA
UAAGGACUGAAACAGGUACAGAGUGAAAGAAAAAUCACACGGCAGACGAGAAGAUGAUCUGCAGGAUCCUGCUGCUCAUCAUCCUCACCUCAUGUGUCUCUGGAUCAUUUGUAGUCAAUGUGACACAGACCUCCUAUCAGGCAGAGGAGAACCACAACAUCACACUGGAGUGGACGUUCACCACCAAACCUGACAGAUCCACCAAAACCCUUUUUAUCUACUGUGAAAUGAAAACUGAGCUUAAAUCCUCAGUCCUGUAUCAUGUUCAUGAAGGUGUUGAGGUGUCAGGGUCUCAGGAUGAAAAGUUUUCAGGACGAGUCCAGAGUGACAAAGACGCCCUCAGAGAAGGACGAAUCAGACUUCAACUGUCCAGACUCAGGACUGAUGACUCUGGUCUGUACCUGUGUGAGGUGAACACGGAUUAUGGUUACGGCUCUUCCAGCUGUUGGCUUAAGAUCAGUAGAACCUCUGGUCUGUUUGAGAAUCAGAGACCAACUUUGAAUUCACAGCCACAGAGUUCAGGAUGGACCACGUUUUAUAUUUUCCUGGGACAAGCAACAGCGUUUCUACUGUAUUUUUGUCUCAUAGUUAAAUGUGGAGCAUGUGUAAGCCAGCCUAGAGAGGUGGAGGUAUGCUCUGAAGAUUGUUAAAUUACCCCAAGUCUUUGAUCUUCGGGCUGAACACUCUGUGUUCAAAUGCUCAAUCAACAAUCACUUUAAUCAAUACAAUUCUCUUUAUACC